rnacentral:rRNA from 1 species
AACGAACGCUGGCGGCAUGCCUAACACAUGCAAGUCGAACGAGACCUUCGGGUCUAGUGGCGCACGGGUGCGUAACGCGUGGGAAUCUGCCCUUGGGUUCGGGAUAACAGUUGGAAACGACUGCUAAUACCGGAUGAUGACUUCGGUCCAAAGAUUUAUCGCCCAGGGAUGAGCCCGCGUCGGAUUAGCUAGUUGGUGAGGUAAGAGCUCACCAAGGCGACGAUCCGUAGCUGGUCUGAGAGGAUGAUCAGCCACACUGGGACUGAGACACGGCCCAGACUCCUACGGGAGGCAGCAGUGGGGAAUAUUGGACAAUGGGCGAAAGCCUGAUCCAGCAAUGCCGCGUGAGUGAUGAAGGCCUUAGGGUUGUAAAGCUCUUUUACCCGGGAUGAUAAUGACAGUAUCGGGAGAAUAAGCCCCGGCUAACUCCGUG